UGGAAAUAGAAAGAGUAAAUUAAAUCUUGGUAAAAUCUUAAAGAAAAACAAGCAGACAUUUUCAAUUUCAAUCUGAGCUGUUGGCUUUCUGCUGACCUUUGCUUACAGAUAUUACAGCAGAACUGCUGUGGUUUUGCUGCACACAUGGUGGCAGUGGCCAGAGCACUCAGGUGCUCGCUGCCAAAGUAGAGCACAUGUGUAGCUAAUUCCUCAGCCUCAUCCUUCCCAUGGUCUGUGAUCAAUCUAUAACCCCCAGGGGGAAAAACAACAAGGACACUUACACCGGCAAUGGAAAUAGAAUGAACAACAGAGAGACCUUCCAGGUUUGACAUGUAAAGGGAAAUAACUUUGUAGUUAUUGUCCCUACUUGGAGACAUCAAAAACAGGUGUAGAGUGUAAGGCGGUGCAGGCUGAGAACGAAGUGGAAAGUAACACAAAGUCAAAGAGAAGAGUUGAAGGAAUUUGGAACAAGGGAUAAUGGACUUGGCUGAAAAGAUGGAGAAUGAAAGACACUGCGCAAAGGUGAAGUCCAUUGUUGUACAAUCAAAUUAACUAUUAAAUGUCAGCUGCAAAGGUGAGCCAUAAUAUUAAAAGGACCUUCCAGUAAGUUUUACGCCAUUUUGACAGCUUUACAGCCACUGAAAAUGUCCAUAGAGCCUCACAGUUUGCUAAUGAAUGGCUUCUCCAUAAGAAUGGAACAGGUCAGAACUUUGAAAGAGAAGCUGGAAAUACCAAUUAAAGAAAUGGAUGCUUCUGCAAAAUCAAAACAACUUUGAAGAACACUCACUUAUAUUUUUGGAGGAUUCACAAAGAACUGAACUAAAUAUAAGCCUUAGAAGUCUGCUCCAAUUCUUUUCCAUAUCCAGGUUUUCAUUAAUUUCAUUCUAAAGCUGGUUAUAACCCCCUGAUUCCAUUCUAUUUUGAUGAUGCCACUACUGAGCUAGUUUCCCAAGUUGUGCUGUUUUGAUGUUUCUACUUUUGUCAUUCACCACGUGGAAUUUUAUGGACCUCUUUUCUUUUGGAAUAACACCCAUCAUUUAAAUGUUGUCACUGUUCAAAAAUACUUCUUUUCUUAUGCGAAGCUGUUCCUUCAGCUGCAGCUGCCACCAGUAGUGGUUAACUUGUGGCACCUAAAUUCCCUGCUGAGUGGGUCAGCUGCUGCUGUUGCAGUUAUGUGUCAGAGCAGGCUUCAUCCUUGGUGAAUCAAAUAGCAUGACUUCUGAGGAGCACGCUCGUAGUGCAGCAGGACAGUCAUGUACUCAUACUCUGACCCCUGUACUGCUGCUGGGUGAGAGUUCUGCAGCUACAAGAAUCAAUAAAAAUGUAUUGAUUUCUCUGCACUGUCAUAAAGCUUGUCUGCUCUCAUCUCCAGUUUGCAAGCAGAAAAAGAAGAGUGUAAAACUGCAAUUGUCUUAGGCUUUCUCUCACCUCCCCCGUUCCACGCUCAUCACUCCAGAGACCAAGAUCUGUUUCUGACAUGCUGCCCCAGCUGCUGUAUCAGCAUCCUACUCUUUUAACACUUUGUGUUGGAAAAAUAGCUGGUUUUGAACUAAGUAAGUGCAGGGGGAUUGCCUUAAAGACUAAGGUGAGUGACUUCUCUGGAGCUUAAUUUGUCCCACUACAUGCAGAAAAGGGUAGCCAAGGGCAAAUAAUGUGAUGAGGAGUUCAUUGUCUCUGUAGGUAUUGCAGUCUCACAUAAAGUUACUUUUCUAGGCCGUUUCAGAUCCCUUUGAAAGUGAUGUUUUCUAUUCUAGGAAGAAGGUGGGUAGUGAUCAUUGAUCUGAAGAACGUAGGAAUGUCCUCCACUGCUGGUAGCUGUCUCAGAGGUAAAAGUGAAGCAGGAGAAGGGUAAAAUAGUAUUUUCAAUAAUAUUUAACUUCACAGCAACUGUCACCUAAUAACCAUACCUGUCAAAAGGCAGCUGUGCAGAUAUGUGCCUCUGAGGUUCAUGCAGAUUACUUGGGAAGCUUGGCUUCAAGCUUCUGGGGAUGGAUGUAACAAUUUGUCAGCUGUAUAAUCAGUUGAUCAAAUCCCAAAGUCCUGAUAAAACGCAGAAUGCAGUCAUGGAGCAAACAGGCCAGAAAAGAUUCACCCAAAAGACAGAAGUACAAGACCCCUGCACAUUGCUGAGUAUAAUUUCAUGAUUUCCAUGAUUUCACUGCCUAGGUCAGCAGUAUCAGUGAACGACUAUAUUGGAAUAUUACAGAUCAACAACAAAAGAAGCAUGAAAGGGGAGCAACUUGCAUUGUUUAAAAGCAUCUCCUUGGAUGCUUUUGUUUCUGUGAAGAAUGAGGACUUUGACACUCAGCUAUUCUUUUGAUGAGGUCCUCAGCUGCACCAGUUCUGAUAGAAAUAUUUGCAGUGCUGCAAAUUAACAAGCGAUACACACACGUGACCACUGGUCAAAUGACUGACUGUGUCUGCAUCGUCAGUUGUCAAUGUAACUAUGUGUUACUUAAUGUAUUUGUGGCGCAGGAAGUAGGCACUGCUUUCUGCUCUACCAGCUGAAGGGCAAGGCAGACCUGCUGACAAGUAGGAAAAUACAGGUUUAUCAACCCUGCUGCUUUAGUGACUUUCCUUGCAUUGAUGGCUUCAAGCAAGUAAUUCCAAGAAUGUAAUAUUUUAAAUGCAUGCUGUUGGGCUGUUAUAUGCAGGAUGUUGAGUCAGGCUCACACACAGUGUUAUUACUUAGGUCUGCAACUGCAGACCCAGACAAGGAAAAGGGAAAAUUCCUUUGUGAGCAGUUAGGAAGGAAGCACAGGUGGGUCCCCAGAAGGGUGUUCUCUGGGGGCUCUCUGCAGCUCAGCUGGCAGUGAGGAUGAAGAGGAAAAUAAGAAUGUUGUUGGCAUGCUUUUGCAGAAUAUAUUGUAUAUUUUUGUUCGUACCUUUUUUUUUUUUCCUAGUAGGAUCAAAUCAAAAUCCCUGUUGGAUUUUCCUGUUAGUAGGAUAAUUACAGUAGAGCAUGGUAGCAAGAUAAAAGUAUUGUGUGUUGGUCACUAAAUGUGCUCGUAUAUUUUCUGAUAAUGUUUCAGUAUUCAAUUGACUUGUCUCCUUUGUUGUGCAUUAUGCUUAAUUGAGUUUAAUAUAAAGUAACAUAUACAAUAUGAGAUAAGAAAAGGUUGGGGAAAAGGCGUGAUCUUUACAUCUGUGGCAGUUGGUUCCCACAAGAACGUGCUGUAACAACAUUAUUGGGGUUUGCAGGUGCAAGGCCCUGUGAACAAUAAAGAAAGGUGUGAAAACAAGGGGCAAAACACUGCCUCGGCAGCUGCUGUGAAAGAAUGGAGAGCUGCAAAUAACAGCCCCUCUGCGCUGCUAAGGUUGAAGAGCAGAAAUACCAAGGCACAGCACAACAGCCCACACUCAGUUCCAGGUCAGGCAGAUGUGAUCUCAUUGUGUUCAAUGUCUCAUCUGUGCGUUAGACUUGAGCCAUAGCCCUGCAAUGGAAGAGGUCAACAUAGCCUUUACAUCAAGAUAUACAUGCAAG
ensembl:lncRNA